rnacentral:rRNA from 1 species
CCUACGGGUGGCAGCAGUGAGGAAUAUUGGUCAAUGGGCGGGAGCCUGAACCAGCCAAGCCGCGUGAGGGAAGACGGUACAGCGUAUCGUAAACCUCUUUUGUCAGGGAACAAAGGCGUGGACUCGUCCCCGGAUCAGGGUACCUGAAGAAAAAGCAUCGGCUAACUCCGUGCCAGCAGCCGCGGUAAUACGGAGGAUGCGAGCGGUAUCCGGAUUUAUUGGGUUUAAAGGGUGCGCAGGCGGACUGUUAAGUCAGCGGUAAAAGCCCGGGGCUCAACCCCAGCGUGCCGUUGAAACUGGCGGUCUUGAGUGGGAGAGAAGUACGCGGAAUGCGUGGUGUAGCGGUGAAAUGCUUAGAUAUCGCGCAGAACCCCGAUUGCGAAGGCAGCGUACCGGCUCCACACUGACGCUGAGGCACGAAAGCGUGGGUAUCGAACAGGAUUAGAUACCCCGGUAGUC